GGAAGAUACCCCGUGUCAAGAAGCUGACAGCACACACGUUUGAGACAUCACCAAAAUGAAACAGUCUACUAUCAGCAAAAGAAUGCCAGAGCAAGAGUGAAACAGAGAGCACAGAGCCGUGAUGCUGCCCCUUGCCGGUGGUGCAGGAGAAAGGACGCAACCUCAGUCUACGACUCCUGCCAAGAUUAUCAGCCACGCUAGAAACUAAAGGGUGAAAACAGGGUUUCUCUGCUGCAAUUCCAUCUCUUCCUCUAGAAACUUGUCGUAGGAAUGACUCCCUGUAACCUCCCACACCUGCCUCUUCUUUCCGUAAGUGUUGGCUAACAGAAUCCCCUUCCUUCCUCGGUCCUUGCUAAGUGACUGAAUUCAGAAACUCCUGGACAAUACUACAACCAUCCGUAUUAC
rnacentral:lncRNA from 1 species